GAAGCACACCUCUCUGAUACCUAGGGAAGUGUCAGGGUUGGCCAAGAGGCAGACAUGUUGAACAAGGAGAAACAGCCUCUUCUGAAGAAAUAGAAAGCUGAUUGGGACAUAAAAGAACUAUAAACAAUAUGGAGGCUUAACGACAACUCCAGCAGGAGUGAUGGUCUCCAACAAAAGGACAAGAAGGAAGCAGAGUGGAGACUGCAGUCAAGUGAGAAGAAAGGGAGCAGGUCUGAUGGCUUAAAAAGGCUUCUUUGAAGGGAGGGCACACAACUUACUUCUCUGUUCCCUUAAGGGAGUGGUCGCUAGCCAGGGAAAGGAGGCAAAACUGUUUGAGGAAAAGAAAUGUUGACUUAGAGGUAUGAGCUUGAGUUUUUAUUUACUGUUAAAAAAAUUAAAUCACAUUUCACUUCAUUGUACCACUGGUCUCCAUGGCUGACGUUAUACAUUUCAUGUUUCGAGGCUGAGCUGAAAGUGAAUGGGGGCUCCGGCUUAAUAAGGGAAGAGCCACUCCUGACUCACGUUGGCAGCAGAAAUUGAACCACUUUUUCGCCUGAUUCAAUUGUUUCUCAGAGAAGGAAAACAGUGUUGUUGAUUGAUCAUGGUGAUGAUAAAUAGUGUGAUGGUGAUGAUGGUGGUGGUGGUGAUGGCGGCGAUGAUGAUUAACCUAUAUUGUUGCUUUAUCUUGUUCCAAGAACUGUUCUAUAUGCUUUAGAAUAAAAUAUCCCACUUAGUCAUUAUACCAUAGAUUUGGCCCUCCAGUUUUAAGUCAGGAAACUGAGGUUCAGCAAGGUUAAGUAGCUUAGAAUCAUAACCUUAGAUUCUAUGAGUUUAAUAAUCUCUCCAUCUCCACAGGUCUCCAUGCACCGCAGUGGUUUCCUGGAAUAAAGCUGAGGAAAGGUGAUCUCACCCCCGUCUACAUGGAGGAAGUUGUGCGAGUAUGGGGCUUCCACGAGAUGUUUCUUCACUGAUGGAAGGGAUUUAAUGUGUGCUUCCCUGGGAUUGCCACAGCAAAGAAAUGAUUUUUACAAGACCUUGCUCAUGACCUGCCUCCUGUUAUCCAAUGUCUCCUCACCGAAUAUAAGAGCCUCCUCCUGAAUCUGUCAGAAGGAUCUUGGAAGGAAAGGAUGAGAGAGAAAAACAGGCCUUCAGAGCUGGAGAACGGAUAUGAUUAUCUAUAACCCAGAUCAAGACCAGCUCCUCCAUUGAUUCUCAGCUUUGUGGAUAAGACUAAGUGAAGACAGUGCCCACUGAGCCCUGGGCCUGUGUUCCUGGGACUCUCGUUGCAGAACAGGUCCAUGACGGUGUUAGAACCUUCAGUGUCCCUGCCUUCCUGUAUCUUGGGUGUCCACAUUACCUGAUUGUUGAUGAACCUACAUGAUGAAGGUUGCUCAUGUUCUGGGUUUCCUGUUCCUGUCUUAGAGUCUCUCUGGGGUGACACCCUUGGCCAGAGAAGACAACACUGGCACUCUCCUGUCAGAGUCCGAAAGCUCAAGAUGUAGAUGCUGUUACCACCUUGCCUGGGGCUUCCUGCUACUUGGCUGUCUUGAGUCAACAAUAGCCAAGGGGACAGAAGAAAGAGAGAAAAGUUAUAUCUAUAUGUUUGAACAGUUUGAUCCCUAAUGGAAUGGACGCUGGAGAUGAGGCAAACACAGCCCAGAGAGAACCACCAUUGUGACGCAUUAGAGAAGCACCCAUGACGAUCAAUCACUGCUGAUGGCCUGGACCGCCAGCAUCAAUACUCUAGCACUCUGGAGACUUGGAAAGUAAAACAAAGGUUGCUUGAACGCAAACACUCUGCCACAGCGUUUUAUCUGAUAGUGGGGGUGCGCGCUCCACUCAGUGACUGACAGGCAAGUAACAUAUACAGUGUGCACACGUUGGAUGGAGGGACAUAUCCCACAACCGGAUGGAGCCAGUGAAUGAUACGAGGACAUGAUUGCCCUAAGGUAUGGCUGAGGAGAAGGUUUUAAUGUAGACGUGAGGCAGAGUACGGCCAGAGGCAUCUGGGAGAGUUCAGAUCAAACCAGGCCAUAAGAGGAAAAAACAAGGGGUGGAGGUGAGAGGGAAAAAGAAGAGUGGGGACAAUCAGACUAAGAGAACCAAGAGCAAGUCAAGAGAGACAGAACAACCAAGAGGGGCUGAAAUGCCAGGGUUCUAUAGGAGAGAGAAGCUGGCAGGGAAGGGAGUCAAGCCCCAGGACUAUAGAGGUUUAGGGUAGCGGUAUAGUGAGAAGAGCUGAGAAGAGCCAAGACUCUGUAACUGGGACUUACAAUACUGAGAGAACCCAGAGGUCAGCAUGUGCUUUGGUUUGCUGCCAUUUGUCCCUGAGUUUCUCUGGGACCUGACAGCCAGGUAGGCUGAGGUUUUAUUACACUACUCACCAUGAUGAACAAUUUAGAACUCAUCAAUUAUUCAUGUCUGGGAUUUUUCCAUUUAACAUUUUGUGCAGCAAGUUGUGUAGGUAAGUAAAUCAUGGACAACAGAACUCCGGAGGCUGCAGCGGGAGAACUCCUGAGUGCCUAUUAAAUGACUUGGUUCUGGUUCCAAUGGCGGAGGUUCUGAAGUGGGCACUGCCAGCACCUACUGAAUUCUUACCAGCUCCGAGCGACUCUAACGUGGGUGUUCUCAGAACCACAUUUUGAGAAACAGUCCUCCGUAUUGACAUAAUUGGCAGCAUCCUUCCUUUAAACACUUCCCUUUGGUUGCUAUGAUACACCCCUCCUCCCCAAGUUCUGUGGGCUCUCUAAUUCUGUUCUCCAUCUCCCACUUCCUCUCCAGCCUGUACCACUGUCCCCAGACUCUCUGCUCCUUCCUCCGCUGUCUGUCCCCUGGGGCAUGGCUCCAACUUGGGCAGAUGGUCCAACCUUGCCCUGGUGAGUGCCAGCCUCCUGGUGAGAUCCGUGGAUUUUGGAACAGAGUUGUACUUCAUUCAGCCUGGGUCCAGGACUUAGCUGUGAAGAAGGUGAUAUUGACGCUGCUGCUCCAAUCACCCCCACCCUGCUCUGGGCCUUUCCUCUUCCAUUAAGAUCUCCUGCUUUGCAGUUUUCUAAUCAAAUUAGUUCCGAGGGAAGAGCUGAUCUGUUUACACGGUCACACUAAUGUGCCAACUCUCCCAGUCACUGGCAUUUGCAAAGCCUUUUUCCGUCUUUGUGGUUUCAACCCUGUUAUUUCAGGCUUCCCUUAGCAGAUAGGGUGAUUCAGAAGGGCACGACCAAGGGAUAGGGCGAGCUGAUUUGAGAAGGGCUGGCUCUUCUCUUCUUCGACAUUUCUAGGAGCGUAGACUGAAAACUAGCCUGUCAAACGGCUGGGAGGGCAGGACUUGGACCUUCUAGGUCUUGGGCAAGGAUAAGCAAUAACUGCAGUCACAAUAGGCCAGACCCUAGAAGCACGGAGGAUAAGGACAGACUACAGAGCUGCAAUUGGGCUUACUUCCUGCCACGCCUACCCAUGGCCACGCCUACCCAUAGCCACUCCUACCCAUAUACUUCUAAGAGCUCCUCUUCACUGGUCAGGUCUCAUCUUAAAAGUUCUCUCUUGGGAAUAAAUAGCCUGACCUGGCCGCCAGGUUGUGGUCCCUUUUUGUGAUCCUGUGUUAGCAACCGCUUGCCUUUGUUGUAUUUAUCACAGGUUGUAAUUAUUUGAUUUCCUUCUUCCUGUCUCCUUCUGGAGUUAAGUAAGGCUCCAGGCGGGUGAGACCAGGCUGCCUCACACCCCUUCUAUGCAGGUUCAAAACAGAGAUCAACAGGAAGCCGGAAGGACAGCAUGAACAAGCCCUACCACCCUGCAGUCCCCGAGCUGAAGCAAACUGUCCUCAAUAGGCAUGUGGUGCAGAAAGGCAGAAAACUGACAGUAAUAUAAAUGAUUCUUGUAUGUAAAACUGCCAAUAGAUGUUUGCCCAGUAGAGGGGGCAAUUGGCGCUUUUCCUGCGACUAUCAAGAUCUGAAUGCGCCAUAGUUUUCCUGAGGUCCCGUGUGCUCUUAGAAUUCUCCUUUGAGCCAGUCAGAACAUCUUACUGACUGCCUCAUUAGUUGGUAAAAUAACAUCUCUGACAAUCUCUGACAUAUUAGUUUCAUAUUUGUACCUGAGUCAAAUGUUUAGCUUCUUAAAAAUAUUUUUUUCAUUCGAACUUCAUGGAAACCAAGUAUUUUGUGCAUCAAAAGAUACUAUCAGGAAAAUGAAAAGUCCCCCUACAAAUGGAGGAAAAAAAACCCAACCCACACACAAAUCACAUCUAGAGAAUAAAGAACUAAACUUCAGCAAUACCGACAGGAGCAGUGACAAACAAACACAAACAAAACAACAACAAUAACAAAACCAAUUAAAAAUGGUCAAAGGCUUCAAUUAGGCAGCUCUCUAAAGAAAAUACAAAAGCACAUGUGAAUGUCACCAGAGUUGUUAGGUCAAAGCCUGAGCUCUCCUGGCAUAGCGGAAGGACCACAGGACAAAGGCAAGCUGGCAGAGGAUAGACAAAGACUGUCCCCAUGUAACUUCACAUAACUAACAUCAGUCUGCAGAAAAGCCCUUGACAUAGGAGCCAGGUAGAUGGUUGCUGUGUAACCAUAAAGGUUACUCACCUUGUGACCCCGUGCUUUGGUUUGAUUUGUUUCCCCCUCACUACUCUAGCCACACCUAUGCGAAGGAGCAUUUUCCCUCCAGUCUGAUUCUGUCUCUAACCAUGUGUCCCCGGUGGACUCCUUUGACACAGUAUAAAAGCCUGAAAUUGGGUGCCCUCAGAACUCAGAUCUACAGUCUGGCAUGAAAAUUCUCUCUCUCUCUCUCUCUCUCUCUCUCUCUCUCUCUCUCUCUCUCUCUCUCUCCCCUUCCUUCCCUAUUCCUCCCUCCCUACUUCUCCAUCUGUCCUUGAUAAUUCUACUCCUAGAUGUAAAUACAGGAGACUGAAAGCAGGGAUUUGACAGAUGUUUGAGCAUGGCCAUAGCAGCAUUAGUAACAGCAGCCAAUGUUGAAGUAAUCUGAAGCCAGGUAAGCCAGGUAGAUAUCUAUGAUCUUAUUACGAAGCUGAGGUAGGACUAUCAAGAGUCAAGGCCAGCCUAGAGAUCCUGUCACACACACACACACACACACACACACACACACACACACACACACACACACACACACGGGGGGGGGCGCAUGAUAGAGAGAAUCAACCAGCAGAUAAUGAAUGAAUGAAUGAAAUAUUGCAUAUAAAUACAGUGGGGGAUGCUAUUCAACCACUUAGAGGAAUAAAAUGCCAAUAUAUGCUACAAAUGAAUGGACUUUGUGUUAAUUCGGGUUUCCAUUCUGUGAUGAAACAUCAUGACCAAAACCAGCUUGAGGUGGGAAGGGUUUAUUCUGUUUACACUUCCAGGUAACAGUCCAUCACUAAUGGGAGUCCGGGAGGUACCUUAAGGGCAGAUGCUGAAGGCGCAGGAGCUGAUGCAGAGGCCGUGAAGGGGGGCUUCUUACUGGCUUGUUCCUCAUGGCUUGC
rnacentral:sRNA from 1 species